AUAAACCUUGAUCAAACCUUUGGCUGUGGCAGGAUCAAAUGUGGAUGAAGAUGAGAAAGAGAAUACACCACAGGAAAAAUGUAUUAAAAAGAGAAAGUUGAAUAUACUUAUACAAGACUAUAUCAUAUAACAAGGAAGAA